rnacentral:rRNA from 1 species
UGCCCCAGUAACGGCGAGUGAAGCGGCAACAGCUCAAAUUUGAAAUCUGGCCCCUAGGGUCCGAGUUGUAAUUUGUAGAGGAUGCUUUUGGUGAGGUGCCGCCCGAGUUCCCUGGAACGGGACGCCACAGAGGGUGAGAGCCCCGUCUGGCUGGCCACCGAGCCUCUGUAAAGCUCCUUCGACGAGUCGAGUAGUUUGGGAAUGCUGCUCAAAAUGGGAGGUAUAUGUCUUCUAAAGCUAAAUAUUGGCCAGAGACCGAUAGCGCACAAGUAGAGUGAUCGAAAGAUGAAAAGCACCUUGAAAAGAGGGUUAAAUAGUACGUGAAAUUGUUGAAAGGGAAGCGCUUGUGACCAGACUUGGGCGCGGCGGAUCAUCCGGGGUUCUCUCCGGUGCACUUCGCCGCGUCUAGGCCAGCAUCAGUUCGUCGCGGGGGAAAAAGGCUUCGGGAACGUGGCUCCUCCGGGAGUGUUAUAGCCCGUUGCAUAAUACCCUGCUUUGGACUGAGGACCGCGCAUCUGCAAGGAUGCUGGCGUAAUGGUCACCAGCGACCCGUCUUGAAACACGGACCAAGGAGUCGUCUUCGUAUGCGAGUGUUCGGGUG